AUGGCGAUUAAUGGUGCUGGGGGCGAGCGCGGAUUGGCGCGGCUCCAGCGGGCUCAGGCUGCAUAUGUAAAUGAAGGACGGGGCUCCGCAAUUAGCCGCUUCGCUCCGCCAAAUGAUGCGGCUCCCCGGCACCGGCAGCGCCGCCUGCGAGAGGCACCGACCGCGGCGGCGGCGGCGGCAGCAGCGGCGGCGGCAGAGAAACACACACGCACCACGCAGGAGGGCUCUGUUUUGCACACACUUUACACAACAUAUGUGCAAGGUUCACUUGUUGGGAGAGGUCACGAUCUUCGCCUUUCUGUCUUUCUUUCUUCCCCCCGGCUCUCAGUUUCUUUUGCUCCGCUUUCUUCUGCUCUCUUCGCCUUUUUUUUUUUUUUUUUUUUUUUUUCCUUCUUCACAUCACUCUGCGUCCUCGUCUCCUCCUGGUCUCUCUUUCCCCAGAAGUUGAUCUGCAAAGCAUCUGAUUUCUGUGUACGUGUGAGUAAUUUCUUUGCAGGAGGAAAAGAAACUUUUGUGUGUGCUUCUUUCCUUUCCGCUUUCUUCUCGGUGUGCGUGUGUGCUGCUCUGCUCUUCUUUUCUCUUAAUCUUCACAUGCUCGCCUUUAGCUCUUCCAUCCUGUCUCCUUUUCCGUCUCUGUUUCUCCGUCUCCCCUUCCCGGCUGACUUUUGUUCUCUCCUCUCGCAAGCGCACGCACGCACACACACACACAGAAGACCUUGGGCAGUUUUGUCUUUCACCUCUCCUUCCUUCUUCUUUGUCUUGCAGCUUCUUUCUCCAAGCAGAGACUCCCCGUUGGUGGUGGUGGUCACUUCCUGUUGUCCAUUGGAUUUUCCAGCUUUGCAAUGGGUAUGCACAUGACGACAGCUGCUCCUUGUCACUUUACCUGUAAUCAAGGGGAGAGACACUCUUGGGUCAUACCUCCAGGUGAAGGGAGGUAAAAAAAGAAGGGAGGAAAAAAAAGACUUUAUUGAUAUAGUUUAACUGAGAAAACAUUCAGUUCACACCAAGUUAAGAGGAC
rnacentral:lncRNA from 1 species